rnacentral:rRNA from 10 species
AGUCUCUGGCUUACCACCCUGGAUGCAUCCAAUCUCUUCUGAUCUUGGAAGCUAAGCAGGGUCGGGCCUGGUUAGUACUUGGAUGGGAGAAAAAGCAAAGGGAUUGUGCAGAGCUGAAGAUCAAGUGCCUGAGAAAG